AGGAAUGUUAGCAGAAUUUUAACAUGGUAUUAUGAGGAUAAUUUGCCACUUUGAGUAAAAAUGCUAUACAUUUUCUGACCUUUGGGAGUUUAAACCUAUAGGAAAGAAGUCAACAAACUAUAGUUUGAUGAUCUGAGACCAACCAUUAUGCAUUAAGAGGAGUGGGAGAGAUUAACAUACACAGUGGAUGUGUAACAAUGACGUAUGUGACAAUUCAAAUAAAUCCCAAGAGUCUUCUUUGAAGUCUUUAAUAUGAACCAUCAAGGCAUAAAGUUAAGGUCACAGAGCUGUUGUCCUUAUAUCCCAGAGUGGAGGUGCAGAAUUCUCACUCUGGUGAAGACUGACAGGAUCAUCUACUAAAUACAAAGGAGUUAAAAUUCUCAGAAAGAAAAAUGGAAUUUUUUUGGAAUUCAGCUAGAGACAUGGAUUUGGAAAGAGAAAGAAAAAAUUAGUCUUUGUUUGUUUGUAAUGGCCAGUUGAUAAGAGAAAAGUGAUCCUAGAAAUUAUAGUCCCUGCUACUCAGUCCUGGAGCCACUGAGGGAAAAAUACAACCGAAACUUUCAAUACCUAAUGAAUU